AACCCCUAUUCGUUAGUUGCCAUCAUUCAGUUGGGCACUCUAGCGAGACUGCCGGUAAUAAACCGGAGGAAGUGGGGAUGACGGUCAAAUCAUCAUGCCCCUUAUGACCUGGGCGUACACACGUGCUACAAUGGUUGGUACAACGAGUUGCGAGUCGGUGACGGGCGAGCUAAUCUCUUAAAGCCAAUCUCAGUUCGGAUUGUAGGCUGCAACUCGCCUACAUGAAGUCGGAAUCGCUAGUAAUCGCGGAUCAGCACGCCCGCGGUCGAAUACGUUCCGGGCCUU
rnacentral:rRNA from 1 species